CACGCACACACGCGCGGCAUAUCAAUAAGCGGAGGAAAAGAAACUAACAAGGAUUCCCUUAGUAACGGCGAGUGAAGCGGGAAAAGCUCAAAUUUGAAAUCUUCAAGGUUUUACCUUGACGAAUUGUAGUUUAAAGAAGUGUUUUCUGCUGAAGUUUUGGUAAAAGUUCUUUGGAAUAGGACAUCAUAGAGGGUGAGAAUCCCGUAUUUGACCAUUAUUUUCAGCUUUGUGAUACACUUUCAAAGAGUCGGAUUGUUUGGGAAUGCAGUCCAAGAUGGGUGGUAAAUUUCAUCUAAAGCUAAAUAUUGGCGAGAGACCGAUAGCGAACAAGUACCGUGAGGGAAAGAUGAAAAGAACUUUGAAAAGAGAGUUAAACAGUACGUGAAAUUGUCAAAAGGGAAGCGUUUGACACCAGUGUUGUUUUCUCGAAAAUCAAUUAAAAAUGGCUCGAUUUUGUAUUGCUUGAGACCUUAAAAGCUCACUGUACAUUUUUCGAGUCUUUCUUAAUGCACUUUUCGUUAACAAGUCAACAUCAAUUUCUUUUGUUGUAAAAGGGUCAUUCGGAAGGUGGCUUUCUUUUCGGAGAAAGUGUUUAUAGCCCUAGGACUUCUAGCAGUCGGAGAGAUUGAGGUCUGCAGCGUAGAUCCUUCGGGGUUAGAUACACUUGUGCUAAGUUAUAGCUUUUCAUAGACAACUUGUUGACUAUGAUUUAGUCAUGUCGCUUACUCGCUUAUGCUAUUUUACCUACGCUUAGGAUGUUGAUCUCUCACAGUCGAGC
rnacentral:rRNA from 1 species